ensembl:misc_RNA Metazoa_SRP Metazoan signal recognition particle RNA
GUCGGGUGCGGUGGCGCGCGCCUGUAAUCCAAGUCACCGGGAGGCUGAGGCUGGAGGAUCGUUUGAGCUCAGGAGCUCUGAGCCGCUGCGGACUAUGUCGAUCGGGUGUCCGCACUAAGUUCAGUAUCGAUAUGGUGAUCCUGGGGGAGCCCGGGACCACCAGGUCGCCUAAGGAGGGGUGCACCGGCCCAGGUCGGAGACGGAGCAGGCCAAAGCCCCCGUGCCGCUCAGUAGUGGGAUCGCACCUGAGAAUAGACGCGGCGGUGCAGCCUGAGCAAUACAAUGAGACACAGUCUCUU